rnacentral:ncRNA from 2 species
GCGCCUGCUCCGGGGUGCACGGGCCUGCCAAGGCCCGGCGCUGAGAUGGUGUGACACACCGAACCCGUGAACUUGAUCCGGCUAGUACCGGCGAAAGAAGAGCGUUGCCUUGAAGG